rnacentral:rRNA from 1 species
AUUGAACGCUGGCGGCAUGCUUUACACAUGCAAGUCGAACGGCAGCGCGGGCUUCGGCCUGGCGGCGAGUGGCGAACGGGUGAGUAAUGCAUCGGAACGUGCCCAGUAGUGGGGGAUAGCCCGGCGAAAGCCGGAUUAAUACCGCAUACGACCUGAGGGUGAAAGCGGGGGACCGAAAGGCCUCGCGCUAUUGGAGCGGCCGAUGUCGGAUUAGCUAGUUGGUGGGGUAAAGGCUUACCAAGGCGACGAUCCGUAGCUGGUCUGAGAGGACGACCAGCCACACUGGGGCUGAGACACGGCCCAGACUCCUACGGGAGGCAGCAGUGGGGAAUUUUGGACAAUGGGGGCAACCCCGAUCCAGCCAUGCCGCGUGCGGGAAGAAGGCCUUCGGGUUGUAAACCGCUUUUGUUCGGGAAGAAAUCCUCUGGGCUAAUACCCCGGGGGGAUGACGGUACCGGAAGAAUAAGCACCGGCUAACUACGUG